GACUAUGAAACUCGUUUACAAAGAAACAACGGGAAUGGCUAAUCAUUAGACACAAUUCAGCCUUCAAUACACAAACCUCAGAGAAGGCAACAAGGAGUUUCUGAAGGCAUGGGUUUGAUCAGAUGUCUUAGCCAAGAAUUGUCGUAGUGGAGGUUAUAGCAACUAAUUUCUAGAAUUAAGUAGGUUGCCGAUUUCUGCAUGGAACAUCCUACAGAUAAUAGUGGUCUCCUUCGUGGCCACUUCUGUCCACGCUUCGACGUUGCCACAAGCUCAGUCGUACUCUUCAUUCUUGUCUGGGCUAUCACAUUCACCGGCACCUCUAACUCUGUCAAAUGCGCCUUUGACCAUUUCUCAUACACCAACACUUGUUUCGCACUACACGAGACUUCAUAAAUAGAGAAUAUGCUUCUGCCCGUUACGAGUUCAAAUACGGAGUGAAGGACGAACACACACACGACAUCAAGGAACAGGCUGAGAAACGUGAAGGCGAUAAAGUCACCGGAUACUACACCCUGUUGGAACCAGACGGCACCCCUCGUACCGUCCCCUAUACCCUGUUGGAACCAGACGGCACCCCUCGUACCGUCCACUACACCCUGUUGGAACCAGACGGCACCCCUCGUAUCGUCCCCUAUACCCUGUUGGAACCAGACGGCACCCCUCGUACAGUCCACUACAGCGCUGACAAACACACCGGGUUCCAGGCUCAGGUGACCAGAUCCGGGCACUCGGCAAAUUCUGCACCUUCCGUCAAGGCCGUGGACACUGCCGUCACCUCCUACGCGACGGUAGCGCCUCAGAAGACAUAUUCUUACGUUCCGAUCUCAUCCCAUGAUUGUUCUGUCACGAGCUAAAAUAUCCUCAGCAGCAGUUUAGGACUUGCCUCUAAUGGUUAUCAAUAACUGAAAUGCCUGCUGCAGUAUUUCAGCCAUAGUCGAAUUUCGGGUCAUAUCCAGUCGCCAUAUUAAUCUUCAUGGAAUUAUAACACUGAUUUCACACUUGUCUCCGAAAAUUUCUUCACCCAUAUUAA